rnacentral:ncRNA from 1 species
CACCGCCCGUCACACCAUGGGAGUCGGAAAUGCCCGAAGUCAGUGGCCUAACCGCAAGGGAGGAGCUGCCGAAGGCAGGUCUGGUGACUGGGGUGAAGUCGUAACAAGGUAGCCGUAUCGGAAGGUGCGGCUG